rnacentral:rRNA from 1 species
CCAGAGAACUUAGCAGAGAUUGCUUUGGUGCCUUCGGGAACUCUGAGACAGGUGCUGCAUGGCUGUCGUCAGCUCGCGUUGUGAAAUGUUGGGUUAAGUCCCGCAACGAGCGCAACCCUUAUCCUUGUUGCCAGCGGCUCGGCCGGGAACUCAAAGGAGACUGCCGGUGAUAAACCGGAGGAAGGUGGGGAUGACGUCAAGUCAUCAUGGCCCUUACGGCCAGGGCUACAUACGUGCUACAAUGGCGCAUACAAAGAGAAGCGACCUCGCGAGAGCAAGCGGACCUCACAAAGUGCGUCGUAGUCCGGAUUGGAGUCUGCAACUCGACUCCAUGAAGUCGGAAUCGCUAGUAAUCGUAGAUCAGAAUGCUACGGUGAAUACGUUCCCGGGCCUUGUACACACCGCCCGUCACACCAUGGGAGUGGGUUGCAAAAGAAGUAGGUAGCUUAACCUUCGGGAGGGCGCUUACCACUUUGUGAUUCAUGACUGGGGUGAAGUCGUAACAAGGUAAGCGUAGCGAG